UACAGAGGUGCAAGCGUUGUUCGGAAUUAUUGGGCGUAAAGGGCGCGUAGGCGGUGCGGUAAGUCUGCAGUGAAAUCUCUGGGCUCAACUCAGAGUCUGCUGUAGAAACUGCCGUGCUUGAGUGUGGGAGAGGUGAGUGGAAUUCCCGGUGUAGCGGUGAAAUUCGUAGAUAUCAAGCGGAACACCGGUGGCGAAGGCGGCCUUCUGGACAGUGACUGACGCUGAGACGCGAAAGCGUGGGGAGCAAACAGG
rnacentral:rRNA from 1 species